GGGGUUUUGGCUCAGUGGUAGAGCACUUGCCUAGCAUGUAUGAGGCACUGGGUUCAAACCUAAGCACCA
rfam:Ictidomys tridecemlineatus contig129888, whole genome shotgun sequence.